rnacentral:rRNA from 1 species
GGGUGACGAGCGGCGGACGGGUGAGUAAUGUCUGGGAAACUGCCUGAUGGAGGGGGAUAACUACUGGAAACGGUAGCUAAUACCGCAUAACGUCGCAAGACCAAAGAGGGGGACCUUCGGGCCUCUUGCCAUCAGAUGUGCCCAGAUGGGAUUAGCUAGUAGGUGGGGUAAUGGCUCACCUAGGCGACGAUCCCUAGCUGGUCUGAGAGGAUGACCAGCCACACUGGAACUGAGACACGGUCCAGACUCCUACGGGAGGCAGCAGUGGGGAAUAUUGCACAAUGGGCGCAAGCCUGAUGCAGCCAUGCCGCGUGUAUGAAGAAGGCCUUCGGGUUGUAAAGUAC